UGGAUGCUUCUGAGCCUCUGCGUGCCC
rnacentral:piRNA from 1 species